UACGUAGGGUGCAAGCGUUGUCCGGAAUUAUUGGGCGUAAAGAGCUCGUAGGCGGUCUGUUACGUCGGCUGUGAAAACCCGGGGCUCAACUCCGGGCCUGCAGCCGAUACGGGCAGACUAGAGUUCGGCAGGGGAGACUGGAAUUCCUGGUGUAGCGGUGAAAUGCGCAGAUAUCAGGAGGAACACCUAUAGCGAAGGCAGCUUGCUGGGACGUUACUGACGCUAAGGCGCGAAAGCGUGGGGAGCGAACAGG
rnacentral:rRNA from 1 species